GACGGAGGGAGCUAGCGUUGUUCGGAAUGACUGGGCGUAAAGGGCGCGUAGGCGGUUUUUUAAGUGAGGCGUGAAAGCCCUGGGCUUAACCCAGGAGGUGCGUUUCAUACUGGAAGACUUGAGUGCGAGAGAGGAAAGUGGAAUUCCUAGUGUAGAGGUGAAAUUCGUAGAUAUUAGGAAGAACACCUGUGGCGAAGGCGGCUUUCUGGCUCGCAACUGACGCUGAGGCGCGAAAGCGUGGGGAGCAAAC
rnacentral:rRNA from 1 species